AUGGCUGAGCACUGCAAGAUUUCUCCUGCCAUUGUAGCCGAGUCCGAGGAAAGAUCGUAUGCCUUCAAGAUAGACGGAUACUCUAGAACCAAAAGGCUGAUCAAGGACUACGAGGGCGUGACAUCCCCCCCUUUCUGCGUCGGAGGUCACGACUGGAUCCUGAGGUACGUCCCCAAAAAUGGAGUUCUAGUGUCCGUCUACCUGGUUCUCGAUUCUGCCGAUGCAAAAGACGUGAAGGCGAAGGUCAGGUUCUGUUUACUCGACAAGGACGGCGUCCCAGUUCCAUCGUACAGCCACACCAUCCCUGAACAUGUCUUCCCAGGCAAAGGAUCAGCCUGGGGCGUCGUCAAUUUCAUCAAGCCGGAGGAUCUGGAGCGAUCGCCGCACCUGAUAGACGACUGCUUCACCAUCCGGUGCGAUGUCACCGUGAUGAAGAAGUUCAAAGGCAAAGAAAAUGGCCAGUUCGUUGUGGUUCCCUCGAGCGACUUGCACCGACAUCUCGGCGACCUUCUGAAGAGUGGGGAUGGAACGGACGUGACCUUUCAAGUCGACGGCAAGACCUUCUUGGCCCAUCGGUCCGUGCUCGCUGCUCGGUCGCCUGUGUUCAAGGUGCAGCUCUUCGGCGCCAUGAAGGGGAGUUCUGAUGAUCAGAUUAUAGUUGAUGAUAUGGAAGCCGACGUGUUCGGAUCCUUGCUCCACUUCAUAUACACCGACUCCCUCCCGCAGAUGAGUCAUGAGGGAGACAAUCAAGGUGUGGCAGCUAGCCACCUCCUUGUAGCGGCGGACAGGUAUGAUGUUCAGAGGCUGAAGCUUAUCUGUGAGGAUAAACUGCGCAGCUACAUUGACUCCAGCACUGUGGCGACCAGUUUGGUUUUGGCUGAGCAACAUAGCUGCCAUGGUCUCAAGGAAGUAUGUUUGCAUUUUCUCACUUGUCCUUCCAAUUUGGAGGCGAUGAUAGCAAGCGAUGGCUACGAGCAUCUCAAAAGCAGUUGC
rnacentral:rRNA from 1 species